rnacentral:rRNA from 1 species
AUUGAACGCUGGCGGCAGGCCUAACACAUGCAAGUCGAACGAGUGGCGGCCGGGUGAGUAAUGUCUGGGAAACUGCCGGAUGGAGGGGGAUACCUACGGGAAACGUUAGCUAAUCCCGCAUACCUCCGAAUGUGCCCAGCUGGGAUUAGCUAGUGGGGGGGGUAAAGGCUCACAUAGGCGAUGAUCCCUAGCUGGUCUGAGAGGAUGACCAGCCAAACUGAAACGAAUACACGGCCCAGACUCCUACGGGAGGCAGAAGUGGGGAAUAUUGCACAAUGGGCGCAAGACUGAUUCAGCCCUGACGCUGGUAUGAAGAAGGCGUUCGGGUUGUAAAGUACUUUCAGGCUGGCGGCGUUACCCGCAGAUGAAGCACCGGCUAACUCCGUGCCAGCAGCCGCGGUAAUAC